rnacentral:rRNA from 1 species
GAUGAACGCUGGCGGCGUGCCUAAUACAUGCAAGUCGAGCGAACAGACGAGGAGCUUGCUCCUCUGACGUUAGCGGCGGACGGGUGAGUAACACGUGGAUAACCUACCUAUAAGACUGGGAUAACUUCGGGAAACCGGAGCUAAUACCGGAUAAUAUAUUGAACCGCAUGGUUCAAUAGUGAAAGACGGUUUUGCUGUCACUUUUAGAUGGAUCCGCGCCGCAUUAGCUAGUUGGUAAGGUAACGGCUUACCAAGGCAACGAUGCGUAGCCGACAUGAGAGGGUGAUCGGCCACACUGGAACUGAGACACGGUCCAGACUCCUACGGGAGGCAGCAGUAGGGAAUCUUCCGCAAUGGGCGAAAGCCUGACGGAGCAACGCCGCGUGAGUGAUGAAGGUCUUCGGAUCGUAAAACUCUGUUAUUAGGGAAGAACAAAUGUGUAAGUAACUAUGCACGUCUUGACGGUACCUAAUCAGAAAGCCACGGCUAACUACGUG